GGGGGUGACCCGGUUUCGACAGGGGAACUGAAGGUGAUGUUGCGUGUCGAGGUGCCGUUGGCCUCGUAAAUAAACGGCAAAGCCAUUAACUGGCAACCAGAACUACGCUCUCGCUGCUUAAGUGAGACAGUGACCGCUCAGCCCGGCCUUUGGCGGGGCGCGAACUGAACCAAAAGAAGGCUAGUCCCUGCAAGACUUCGUAGCAGACGGCGAAAUUUAACGGAGAUAAGGCUCUCGGCAACCCGCCCGUUGGUGACCGAUAGCCCGACAAUCAAAGAACGGGAUACACACGUAGACGCACGCUGAACGGACCUUUGGACGGCGGUUCGACUCCGCCCACCUCCACCA
rnacentral:tmRNA from 1 species